UACAGAGGGUGCAAGCGUUAAUCGGAAUUACUGGGCGUAAAGCGUGCGUAGACGGUUAUGUAAGUCAGAUGUGAAAGCCCCGGGCUCAACCUGGGAAUUGCAUUUGAGACUGAAUAGCUAGGGUACGGUAGAGGGAAGCGGAAUUUCCGGUGUAGCGGUGAAAUGCGUAGAUAUCGGAAGGAACAUCAGUGGCGAAAGCGGCUUCCUGGACCAGUACCGACGUUCAGGCACGAAAGCGUGGGGAGC
rnacentral:rRNA from 1 species